rnacentral:rRNA from 1 species
AUUGAACGCUGGCGGCAGGCCUAACACAUGCAAGUCGAGCGGAGCGGCGGACGGGUGAGUAAUGACUAGGAAUCUGCCUGGUAGUGGGGGAUAACGUCCGGAAACGGGCGUUAAUACCGCCUACUAUCAGAUGAGCCUAGGUUGGAUUAGCUAGUAGGUGGGGUAAUGGCUCACCUAGGCGACGAUCCCUAGCUGGUCUGAGAGGAUGACCAGCCACACGGGAACUGAGACACGGUCCAGCAUCCUACGGGAGGCCGCAGUGGGGAAUAUUGCCCAAUGGGCGCAAGCCUGAUGCAGCCAUGCCGCGUGUGUGAAGAAGGCCUUCGGGUUGUAAAGCACUUUCAGCGUGGAGGCGUUACCCGCAGAAGAAGCACCGGCUAACUCCGUGCCAGCAGCCGCGGUAAUAC